AGCGUAGACGGAUGGACAAGUCUGAUGUGAAAGGCUGGGGCUCAACCCCGGGACUGCAUUGGAAACUGCCCGUCUUGAGUGCCGGAGAGGUAAGCGGAAUUCCUAGUGUAGCGGUGAAAUGCGUAGAUAUUAGGAGGAACACCAGUGGCGAAGGCGGCUUACUGGACGGUAACUGACGUUGAGGCUCGAAAGUGUGGGUAAGCAAACA
rnacentral:rRNA from 1 species